rnacentral:lncRNA from 1 species
AGAGCUCCAGGGGGUAGUGCUCCCCGUAGUGCUGCAGGUGCCGCUCCAGCGCCGCGCGCUGCCUGCGCAGGUUGGGGGGCAUCUCCAGGUACACGUCCGAGAACAGGAGCUGGGGGCUGGGCUUGGGCUUGCGCUCCGCCUGCUCGAACGCCUCCAUCACCUGCAAAAGGGGGGGGGGCACCCCCAAAUCGGCCGCGAUUCGCCCCAAAAUGAAGAGGUGGGGGGGGCGGGGGGGGCGUUGGGAACACGGAUGUAGCCUGUGGGGUGGCACAAGCGCGUGCGGGGCGUCCUCUCUGUGGGGUGAUGGGUUUGGGGCAUCACAUACGUGUAUGUUGCGUGUUGGGGGCGUCACGUGUGUGUAUGCUGCGUGUUCGGGGCAUCACACGCGUGUAUGCUGCGUGUUUGAGGCACUACACGUAUGUAUGCUGCGUGUGUGGGGUGUCACACGCGUGUAUGCUGCGUGUUUGAGGCACUACACACAUGUACACUUCCUGUUUGGGGCAUCACACGCGUGUACGCUGCGUGUUUGAGGCACUACACGCGUGUACACUGCGUGUGUGGGGUGUCACACAUGGGUAGGUUGCAUGUUUGGAGUGUCACAUGCGUGUAGGCUGCGUGUUUGAGGCACUACAUAUAAGUGUGGAUGUAACACGUGUGGGGUGCCCUACAUGUGGAUAUAACGUGUUGGGUGCCCUAGACAUGUAUGUAACAUGCGUGGGGUGUCUCACACACGUAUGUAAGAUAUGUAGAGCGUCCUAAACAUGGAUGUAACACAUGCUAAGUGUUAUAAACAUGGAUGUAACAUGUGUGGGGUGCCCUACACAUGGAUGUAGCACAUGUUAGGUGCCAUAAACACGGAUGUAACACGUGUGGGGGGGGGCUUACACAUGUAUGUAACACACGUGGGGUGCUAUAAGCAUGGAUGUAACAUGCGUGGGGUGUCUUACACAUGUAUGUAAUGUAUAUGGGGUGCUCUAUACACGGAUGUAACGCACGUUAGGUGUCAUAAGCACGGAUGUAACGCGUGUGGGUGCCUUACACACGUAUGUAACGUAUGUGGAGAGCCCUAGACACGGAUGUAACACGUGUGGGGUGCCCUACACAUGGAUGUAACACACGUUAGGUGCCAUAAACAUGGAUGUAACACACACGGGGUGCCCUACACAUGGAUGUAACGCAUGUUAGGUGUCAUAAGCAUGGAUGUAA